rnacentral:rRNA from 1 species
CCUACGGGUGGCAGCAGUGAGGAAUAUUGGUCAAUGGGCGCGAGCCUGAACCAGCCAAGUAGCGUGAAGGAUGACUGCCCUACGGGUUGUAAACUUCUUUUAUAAAGGAAUAAAGUGAGGCACGUGUGCCUUUUUGUAUGUACUUUAUGAAUAAGGAUCGGCUAACUCCGUGCCAGCAGCCGCGGUAAUACGGAGGAUCCGAGCGUUAUCCGGGUUUAUUGGGUUUAACGGGAGCGUAGAUGGGUUGUAAAGUCAGUUGUGAAGGUUUGCGGCUCAACCGUAAAAUUGCAAUUGAUACGGGCAGCCAGGAGGACAGUUGAGGUAGGCGGAAUUCGUGGUGUAGCGGUGAAAGGCUUAGAUAUCACGAAGAACUCCGAGUGCGAAGGCAGCCUACUAAACUGCCAUGACAUUGAGGCUCGAAAGUGUGGGGAUCAAACAGGAUUAGAUACCCCAGUAGUC